GACCUGAUAGCUCAGUUGGUAGAGCACCUCCCUUUUAAGGAGGUGGUCCUGGGUUCGAGCCCCAGUCAGGUCACAA
rnacentral:tRNA from 2 species